GGUUAAGCGACUAAGCGUACACGGUGGAUGCCCUGGCAGUCAGAGGCGAUGAAGGACGUGCUAAUCUGCGAUAAGCGUCGGUAAGGUGAUAUGAACCGUUAUAACCGGCGAUUUCCGAAUGGGGAAACCCAGUGUGUUUCGACACACUAUCAUUAACUGAAUCCAUAGGUUAAUGAGGCGAACCGGGGGAACUGAAACAUCUAAGUACCCCGAGGAAAAGAAAUCAACCGAGAUUCCCCCAGUAGCGGCGAGCGAACGGGGAGCAGCCCAGAGCCUGAAUCAGUGUGUGUGUUAGUGGAAGCGUCUGGAAAGGCGCGCGAUACAGGGUGACAGCCCCGUACACAAAAAUGCACAUGCUGUGAGCUCGAUGAGUAGGGCGGGACACGUGGUAUCCUGUCUGAAUAUGGGGGGACCAUCCUCCAAGGCUAAAUACUCCUGACUGACCGAUAGUGAACCAGUACCGUGAGGGAAAGGCGAAAAGAACCCCGGCGAGGGGAGUGAAAAAGAACCUGAAACCGUGUACGUACAAGCAGUGGGAGCACGCUUAGGCGUGUGACUGCGUACCUUUUGUAUAAUGGGUCAGCGACUUAUAUUCUGUAGCAAGGUUAACCGAAUAGGGGAGCCGAAGGGAAACCGAGUCUUAACUGGGCGUUAAGUUGCAGGGUAUAGACCCGAAACCCGGUGAUCUAGCCAUGGGCAGGUUGAAGGUUGGGUAACACUAACUGGAGGACCGAACCGACUAAUGUUGAAAAAUUAGCGGAUGACUUGUGGCUGGGGGUGAAAGGCCAAUCAAACCGGGAGAUAGCUGGUUCUCCCCGAAAGCUAUUUAGGUAGCGCCUCGUGAAUUCAUCUCCGGGGGUAGAGCACUGUUUCGGCAAGGGGGUCAUCCCGACUUACCAACCCGAUGCAAACUGCGAAUACCGGAGAAUGUUAUCACGGGAGACACACGGCGGGUGCUAACGUCCGUCGUGAAGAGGGAAACAACCCAGACCGCCAGCUAAGGUCCCAAAGUCAUGGUUAAGUGGGAAACGAUGUGGGAAGGCCCAGACAGCCAGGAUGUUGGCUUAGAAGCAGCCAUCAUUUAAAGAAAGCGUAAUAGCUCACUGGUCGAGUCGGCCUGCGCGGAAGAUGUAACGGGGCUAAACCAUGCACCGAAGCUGCGGCAGCGACGCUUAUGCGUUGUUGGGUAGGGGAGCGUUCUGUAAGCCUGUGAAGGUGUGCUGUGAGGCAUGCUGGAGGUAUCAGAAGUGCGAAUGCUGACAUAAGUAACGAUAAAGCGGGUGAAAAGCCCGCUCGCCGGAAGACCAAGGGUUCCUGUCCAACGUUAAUCGGGGCAGGGUGAGUCGACCCCUAAGGCGAGGCCGAAAGGCGUAGUCGAUGGGAAACAGGUUAAUAUUCCUGUACUUGGUGUUACUGCGAAGGGGGGACGGAGAAGGCUAUGUUGGCCGGGCGACGGUUGUCCCGGUUUAAGCGUGUAGGCUGGUUUUCCAGGCAAAUCCGGAAAAUCAAGGCUGAGGCGUGAUGACGAGGCACUACGGUGCUGAAGCAACAAAUGCCCUGCUUCCAGGAAAAGCCUCUAAGCAUCAGGUAACAUCAAAUCGUACCCCAAACCGACACAGGUGGUCAGGUAGAGAAUACCAAGGCGCUUGAGAGAACUCGGGUGAAGGAACUAGGCAAAAUGGUGCCGUAACUUCGGGAGAAGGCACGCUGAUACGUAGGUGAAGUCCCUCGCGGAUGGAGCUGAAAUCAGUCGAAGAUACCAGCUGGCUGCAACUGUUUAUUAAAAACACAGCACUGUGCAAACACGAAAGUGGACGUAUACGGUGUGACGCCUGCCCGGUGCCGGAAGGUUAAUUGAUGGGGUCAGCGCAAGCGAAGCUCUUGAUCGAAGCCCCGGUAAACGGCGGCCGUAACUAUAACGGUCCUAAGGUAGCGAAAUUCCUUGUCGGGUAAGUUCCGACCUGCACGAAUGGCGUAAUGAUGGCCAGGCUGUCUCCACCCGAGACUCAGUGAAAUUGAACUCGCUGUGAAGAUGCAGUGUACCCGCGGCAAGACGGAAAGACCCCGUGAACCUUUACUAUAGCUUGACACUGAACAUUGAGCCUUGAUGUGUAGGAUAGGUGGGAGGCUUNNNNNNNNNNNNNNNNNNNNNNNNNNNNNNNNNNNNNNNNNNNNNNNNNNNNNNNNNNNNNNNNNNNNNNNNNNNNNNNNNNNNNNNNNNNNNNNAUCCGGGUUGCGGACAGUGUCUGGUGGGUAGUUUGACUGGGGCGGUCUCCUCCUAAAGAGUAACGGAGGAGCACGAAGGUUGGCUAAUCCUGGUCGGACAUCAGGAGGUUAGUGCAAUGGCAUAAGCCAGCUUGACUGCGAGCGUGACGGCGCGAGCAGGUGCGAAAGCAGGUCAUAGUGAUCCGGUGGUUCUGAAUGGAAGGGCCAUCGCUCAACGGAUAAAAGGUACUCCGGGGAUAACAGGCUGAUACCGCCCAAGAGUUCAUAUCGACGGCGGUGUUUGGCACCUCGAUGUCGGCUCAUCACAUCCUGGGGCUGAAGUAGGUCCCAAGGGUAUGGCUGUUCGCCAUUUAAAGUGGUACGCGAGCUGGGUUUAGAACGUCGUGAGACAGUUCGGUCCCUAUCUGCCGUGGGCGCUGGAGAACUGAGGGGGGCUGCUCCUAGUACGAGAGGACCGGAGUGGACGCAUCACUGGUGUUCGGGUUGUCAUGCCAAUGGCACUGCCCGGUAGCUAAAUGCGGAAGAGAUAAGUGCUGAAAGCAUCUAAGCACGAAACUUGCCCCGAGAUGAGUUCUCCCUGACUCCUUGAGAGUCCUGAAGGAACGUUGAAGACGACGACGUUGAUAGGCCGGGUGUGUAAGCGCAGCGAUGCGUUGAGCUAACCGGUACUAAUGAACCGUGAGGCUUAACCUU
rnacentral:rRNA from 1 species